GCUAAUACAUGCAAGUCGAGCGAAUGGAUUAAGAGCUUGCUCUUAUGAAGUUAGCGGCGGACGGGUGAGUAACACGUGGGUAACCUGCCCAUAAGACUGGGAUAACUCCGGGAAACCGGGGCUAAUACCGGAUAACAUUUUGAACCGCAUGGUUCGAAAUUGAAAGGCGGCUUCGGCUGUCACUUAUGGAUGGACCCGCGUCGCAUUAGCUAGUUGGUGAGGUAACGGCUCACCAAGGCAACGAUGCGUAGCCGACCUGAGAGGGUGAUCGGCCACACUGGGACUGAGACACGGCCCAGACUCCUACGGGAGGCAGCAGUAGGGAAUCUUCCGCAAUGGACGAAAGUCUGACGGAGCAACGCCGCGUGAGUGAUGAAGGCUUUCGGGUCGUAAAACUCUGUUGUUAGGGAAGAACAAGUGCUAGUUGAAUAAGCUGGCACCUUGACGGUACCUAACCAGAAAGCCACGGCUAACUACGUGCCAGCAGCCGCGGUAAUACGUAGGUGGCAAGCGUUAUCCGGAAUUAUUGGGCGUAAAGCGCGCGCAGGUGGUUUCUUAAGUCUGAUGUGAAAGCCCACGGCUCAACCGUGGAGGGUCAUUGGAAACUGGGAGACUUGAGUGCAGAAGAGGAAAGUGGAAUUCCAUGUGUAGCGGUGAAAUGCGUAGAGAUAUGGAGGAACACCAGUGGCGAUGCGACUUUCUG
rnacentral:rRNA from 1 species